rnacentral:rRNA from 1 species
GACGAGCGCUGGCGGCGUGCUUAACACAUGCAAGUCGAACGGAAAGGCCCUGCUUGCAGGGUACUCGAGUGGCGAACGGGUGAGUAACACGUGGGUGAUCUGCCCUGCACUUCGGGAUAAGCCUGGGAAACUGGGUCUAAUACCGGAUAGGAGCCAUUUUUAGUGUGAUGGUUGGAAAGUUUUUUCGGUGUAGGAUGAGCUCGCGGCCUAUCAGCUUGUUGGUGGGGUAAUGGCCUACCAAGGCGGCGACGGGUAGCCGGCCUGAGAGGGUGGACGGCCACAAUGGGACUUAGGUUCGGCCCAGGCUUCUACGGGGGGGAGGAGUUGGGAAUAAUUCACAAAGGGCGCGAGCCUGAUGCCGCGACGCCGCGUGGGGGAUUACGGGCUUCGGGUUGGAAACCCCUUUCGCUAGGGACGAAGCUUUUUGUGACGGUACCUAGAUAAGAAGCACCGGCUAACUACGUG